AUUUGUAUUUCUGUUGCUGUGUGAUGAUAUUAUCUAAGUGAUGAAAAGUGAAUUCUGCAUGUGACCGACGAAAGGGAGGUUUCGCAUCACAAAGCAAAAAAAUUACCCUGUCAUGAACCAGUGUUGCAUUUUACUUGCACAUGCUCUAGGAAUAUACACAGUAUGCAUCACAGGCUUAUAAUGCUCAUGUUCUCAAUUGUGUCCAAAAAUUUCUUUGUAGAAUCAAAUAAGCAAUGAAAUAUAUUAAUAAGUUUACAAUUUAGCUGUGUACCACAAAGAAUUAUGGAAACCGAUCUCAGGUGUUUUGGAUGCGUGUGCUCAGCUCCGAAGGCAAUGGUUAACAACUGUGUUUUUUAGAUUUUUCAAAUGAAUUUCACCCUAUGGCUAGAGCAUCUUCAAUGAAAGGCAAACAUGUUCAUUUGUCUUUACCAUUAAUAGUUGAAUACUCCUGCUGAUAUAUUGAGGUCUUCUAUUUACGCUUUGUGUGCUAUACUUUGCUCUCACUGUACUUCAAUAAGAAUAUUCAGUGUCUUACAAUGUCACUCUUUCAUUAUUCAAGGUAUGUGUCUCGCAACGAAAUAGAAAAUCCUGAAUUUUGUUUCUUUGUCACAGUUUGAUUGAUCCAUUCUUAGCUACAAAUGCUUAUUUAUAAACAAAUGGAUACAAGGUUGAUUGUAGUCUUGCAGUUUGGAAUACCAAAAAAAAACAUUUGUUUGAGUGGUAUAGUGUUUAGAUGGCAUUGCUGUUUUUUAUUGCCUUUUUCUGUCGUGCUAUGAGUUGAUAUGAAUCAAAUAGCUAUUGCCUAAUUGUUGAAAUACCACCCUUUCGAGUAGCCCUUGAACACAUAACAAGGAAGCGAGGAUAUUCGGAGUCCCAGUUUCACUGCCUUUGAGGACGCUGGAGCCACUGCCACUGUUGCUAUGUGUGUGGUUAGGGUAUAGAUCAAACUGCAAUUCAACAAUGGUUAUCUACACCAUCAUAUCUCCGACUAUAAAACUCCAUGCUAAUGUGCCAUAUUCCUCUUUUCUGCAUUUUUUUUAGAGUUGAUCCUUCUAUGAAUUACCUAAUUUCAGUCACAACUGACAAAUAACAGUCUAUUAGUUAACAUCUCCAUCUCCACCAAGGUUCAUAAAUUGACUUAAUACUAUGUAUUUGCCCCUAUCAUUUUUUUGGCUUGUCAAUCAAUGAAGUAAUCAACUAUUCGAAUGACGGAUUAGGAGUAAAUCAUCUACAAUAUUUAUGUUCCCAGUUAAAUGUGUACCGAUAAAUCCAACUAUCGAAAUCAUUGUAGUGAUAAAAAAAUUUGUUCUUAUUUGCAGGCAUUCUGUGGCGAUAAACACAUGACCAGCAAGGGGCCCUGCCCCCUCCCAAUACUAUGGAUUUGUUCCUAAUAAAUACAUGAACAGUGCAACAUUUGACUUGUUUCCUGCUCUAACCGGCCCUCCCCAAGAUCCUAAUUCCACUAAUCCUGCCUCCGCCACUGCAGGCAUGCCGACCUUUUGUUAAUUUCUAUACUUUUGAGGAUGCAUCACUAAAAAGACUAGAAGAGGUACCACAAGUCUAUAAAACCCUUAUUACAGAAGUGAAAAAUAAAAGUGAAUUUAGCUAUAUACUUUGAAAAUUGUAGUGGUUUUGCAUGUCUAAUAUUUUUUUUGUUAUGAUAUUAUUUUGUUCGCUGGUAUUUAAUCCUUGGGGUUUUUAUCUUUCCCAUUCAGAGUAGUCCAAUUGAUACUUUCGAUGGACACACGACAGGUUACCGAUGAUGUCGUCUAAUCCAUACUGGAAGGUUUAAUAACGUACUUGAACAAUAAAACUAUAUGAUGGAUGGUUCUUGAUGGGGGCAGGGAUUCUCCACCUUUACCAAAUGGAGUCGGUCAUAAUCACAUUUGUCUGACCUUCUGGCCUUAUCUCUAUGCUCUCUUUACUUUAUUCUUUGCAUCAUUUCACCGGUACAAGUCAUCAAAUGGGUAUUACUUUUUCCAGUCUGUUGUGUGUCGGGGGGCUGAAGCACAAGCUACUCACUUUACUAUAGUACUGUGCCACAACUGUGAAUUUUGCAAUCCUGCUAUAGCCUAAUUUGAGGUGAUUUAUAUGCCAGGUUAUCCUAAUCUUUAUGUUUCUGAUGCUAAAACCAUCAUGCUUGCUUGCAGAGAUUUAGUUAAGACUUAAUUAACAGUUAUGUAUCUGAAGACUGACAUUUGAAAUCAAAGGUUUCAUGUCAAUGAUGGAAUGCUACCAAAUUAUGUUCCAAGAAAAAUGAUUUCUGCCUCAACUGACUACAUGCAUGUUGAAUUGUUGACCCGACUUGAUGGACUAUAUAAGUGCUCUUCUCCUUGGGAAUUUGAAUGCACGCCCCUUCUAAGCAUCGCACAAUAUAUAGGCUUAUAUAUGUGGUAGUAGUCAUUGGUACAAGCAUGUGUGCAUUAGACCAGAAAAUGCUUAAGUUGCCUUUGAUACUGAUAUGGUAUCCCCUAUAAGUGUAUGAUAUUAAAUAGGUUUCUAUUGAUUCAUCAACAGAGAAAUUUAUGUCAAUUGAUUUAAUGUUGAUACAAG
rnacentral:rRNA from 1 species